rnacentral:tRNA from 1 species
CGCGCCGUUGGGGAAGUCGGGGCCCUUGACCCGCUCGAUGAGCGCGUCCUGCAGCUCCUCGCGGGUGGCGUCGGGGUGCUCCAGCGCCCACGUCGCGCCC